UCAACAUUUUUAUUUCUCUGUCUUCAUUCUCUUCUGCUUUUCUUUUCUUUCUCUCGUUCCUCUGUUCGAUCUCUGUGGAAGUUAAGGUGUUGAUUUCGGGAGUGAUUUAGAGAGAGUUGAUUCAUGAAACUAAUCUUAUAUUGAAGGAGGUGAUGUGGUUGUGAUUCAGGAAGGAUAAAGGUUAGAUAUUGUUAGGGUUUUCUGAAGGAUGAAGUUGAUGGAGAUUUCGUGAAAUUGAUUAGCGUAUUGGGUUCCUGAUUGAUGAAGAUUGAAUGGGUUGACGUUUAAUUGUAGUUUUGAAGAUGAGUCAGUGACGAAUCAAGAGUUAUGGUUUUAUAAGAAGUUCAAAGAAGAGCCAGAAGAUGAAGUUGUUGGUUAGGGGAUUGAAUUAGAAGAUGGGUUUGCUUAGUUUGAAGAUUGAAUUGAUGUUGCGUGGUUGUUUCGAUGAAGAAUCAGCGAAUUAAAGAAUUGGGUGGAUUCUGAAUUGAGAUGAGGUGUUGAAUCAGAUCAAGCCAAAUAAGAGGUUAAUUCAAUUGCUUCAUAACUUGGUCUUGAGGUAAUUGUUCAGUAAACCUAGCAAAGUUAUUUGGUUCAUAUAUUGAAGUUGUGUGGUAUUUAAUGUAUUUAUAGUUAAGUUAGAUAAAUGGAGUAUUUGCUGGAGAUGAAACUGUUUAGAUGUUGAUGUUGUUUUGAAUUGAAAUUGAAUGUAACUUAAUUGGUAGAUGUCUCAGUUGGGUUACAGAAAUACUUGAGUUGGAUUAUUAGAGGAACUGAGCAAGAAUGAUUCCAUAGGAAUUAUAUGCUAAGUCAGUGGUGUUGAUGAUUUGAGAUGCUGGAUGUAUAAUUGAUGAGAUUUCAGUAGUGAAUGAUUGUUGUAGAAUGUUGGUGAACAUUGUAGGUGCUGGUGAUGUCGAACUGUGUAUACCAAUUGCAGGUGUUGGUGUUAGUUUGUGAGAUGAUGAAGUUGGAAUUAUAACUGGUGUUGCUUGAUAUGAAUUGUUACAUGUGUUGUAGAGUUUUGGUGUUGCAUAAGGACCUAUAAUUGGAGAUGGUAUAGAACAGUGUUUGUAAUAUGAAGUUGUGGUUAGUGUAGAGCUGAGACUGAGUUGGAUUGUGCUGGUACUGAAAUACAUGGAGUGAAGUUGAGAAGUGUUAACUGAACUUGAAGGUGGUAAUGUAAUGGUUGUGGUCUGCUGGUUUGCUUGUUUUGAGAAUGGUCUGCGAUUGGGAAUGAGGGUUAGAUGCAGUUGUUGAGUGGAUCCUAGGUGAAAGCUUGUUGCUGCAAUGGCAGUUAGUUUAUUAACAAUGAUCGAUUCAAAGGAUGAACCAGUGGAUCGCAGAUCUCGAAGUAGGCGUGGCUUGUCAUCAAAAGAGAGACAGAUCAGAGUUGCGCAGCGGAAGCCACAAGUGUUGACUCCGUUAAUUAGUUACCUUCUGCUAUGUUUAUUAUGUUGUCUAUUGUAUCUGCAAACCAAUUGACUAUUCUAUAUGUAUCAUUUGAGAGAAAUUCAUGUAUAUAUAUUCUGAGCGAGGUUGGUUUUGGGAUAAGUUUUGUAGCAGAUUUCUUAAUUGAAUGUUUAAAUAUUUGAA